rnacentral:rRNA from 1 species
GACGAACGCUGGCGGCGUGCCUAAUACAUGCAAGUUGAGCGCUGAAGGUUGGUACUUGUACCAACUGGAUGAGCAGCGAACGGGUGAGUAACGCGUGGGGAAUCUGCCUUUGAGCGGGGGACAACAUUUGGAAACGAAUGCUAAUACCGCAUAAAAACUUUAAACACAAGUUUUAAGUUUGAAAGAUGCAAUUGCAUCACUCAAAGAUGAUCCCGCGUUGUAUUAGCUAGUUGGUGAGGUAAAGGCUCACCAAGGCGAUGAUACAUAGCCGACCUGAAAGGGUGAUCGGCCACAUUGGGACUGAGACACGGCCCAAACUCCUACGGGAGGCAGCAGUAGGGAAUCUUCGGCAAUGGACGAAAGUCUGACCGAGCAACGCCGCGUGAGUGAAGAAGGUUUUCGGAUCGUAAAACUCUGUUGGUAGAGAAGAACGUUGGCGAGAGUGGAAAGCUCAUCAAGUGACGGUAACUACCCAGAAAGGGACGGCUAACUACGUG